rnacentral:rRNA from 1 species
GAUGAACGCUGGCGGCGUGCCUAAUACAUGCAAGUCGAGCGAACAGAUAAGGAGCUUGCUCCUUUGACGUUAGCGGCGGACGGGUGAGUUACACGUGGAUAACCUACCUAUAAGACUGGGAUAACUUCGGGAAACCGGAGCUAAUACCGGAUAACAUAUUGAACCGCAUGGUUCAAUAGUGAAAGGCGGCUUUGCUGUCACUUAUAGAUGGAUCCGCGCCGUAUUAGCUAGUUGGUAAGGUAACGGCUUACCAAGGCAACGAUACGUAGCCGACCUGAGAGGGUGAUCGGCCACACUGGAACUGAGACACGGUCCAGACUCCUACGGGAGGCAGCAGUAGGGAAUCUUCCGCAAUGGGCGAAAGCCUGACGGAGCAACGCCGCGUGAGUGAUGAAGGUCUUCGGAUCGUAAAACUCUGUUAUCAGGGAAGAACAAAUGUGUAAGUAACUAUGCACAUCUUGACGGUACCUGAUCAGAAAGCCACGGCUAACUACGUG